CACUGAGCUAAAUCCCCGACCCUAAAAUUGUUGCUCUGAUAGGUGAUCCACAGUGUAUCAAAUAGAAUCUCAGUCUUAUUGACACAGUUGAUUCCUGAGAGACAGGAGAUCUUGAAGCAGAGCCUCCCCAGCUCACCUCAGUCCAGGUGAGCUCUUCUGCAGAAGUACAGUUGGGUACAGUUGGCUGGAUGUAUGCUCGAGGAAACACAAGGCUGAAAUGAAGAUAUUGAACAGCCUGAACUCAUAUCUGGAGGCUCUGGGAAAGAAUCCCCUUCUAAGUCCUUUCUCAUGGUGAAAAUAUUAAUUUCUUCAGGAUUGUAGCACUGAGGCUCCCAUUUCCUUAUUGGCUGUAAACUGGAGGUGUUCUCAGUUUCUGGAGACUACCUGUUCUGUUUGACAAGUGGCUGUUUUGAACUUAGGGUUCCUCUCAUGACCCUUGUAGUUAACAUUAAUGGAGUUCCAGAAUACACCAUCACCUUUGGGCAUCCUUUGCAGACUCUUCAGCCUUCCAUCUUAAACCACGGGUCUUCCUGAGAGGGACUCACGUGGGACUCUGCAGUUAGUCCAGGCCUUUAACUUUGGACUGCAUUUUCCGACACACUAGCAAUCAGCGCUUUUGCUUUCUUCUACAUUU